rnacentral:rRNA from 1 species
GAGGCGAACCGGGGGAACUGAAACAUCUAAGUACCCCGAGGAAAAGAAAUCAACCGAGAUUCCCCCAGUAGCGGCGAGCGAACGGGGAGGAGCCCAGAGCCUGAAUCAGUGUGUGUGUUAGUGGAAGCGUCUGGAAAGGCGCGCGAUACAGGGUGACAGCCCCGUACACAAAAAUGCACAUGCUGUGAGCUCGAUGAGUAGGGCGGGACACGUGGUAUCCUGUCUGAAUAUGGGGGGACCAUCCUCCAAGGCUAAAUACUCCUGACUGACCGAUAGUGAACCAGUACCGUGAGGGAAAGGCGAAAAGAACCCCGGCGAGGGGAGUGAAAAAGAACCUGAAACCGUGUACGUACAAGCAGUGGGAGCACGCUUAGGCGUGUGACUGCGUACCUUUUGUAUAAUGGGUCAGCGACUUAUAUUCUGUAGCAAGGUUAACCGAAUAGGGGAGCCGAAGGGAAACCGAGUCUUAACUGGGCGUUAAGUUGCAGGGUAUAGACCCGAAACCCGGUGAUCUAGCCAUGGGCAGGUUGAAGGUUGGGUAACACUAACUGGAGGACCGAACCGACUAAUGUUGAAAAAUUAGCGGAUGACUUGUGGCUGGGGGUGAAAGGCCAAUCAAACCGGGAGAUAGCUGGUUCUCCCCGAAAGCUAUUUAGGUAGCGCCUCGUGAAUUCAUCUCCGGGGGUAGAGCACUGUUUCGGCAAGGGGGUCAUCCCGACUUACCAACCCGAUGCAAACUGCGAAUACCGGAGAAUGUUAUCACGGGAGACACACGGCGGGUGCUAACGUCCGUCGUGAAGAGGGAAACAACCCAGACCGCCAGCUAAGGUCCCAAAGUCAUGGUUAAGUGGGAAACGAUGUGGGAAGGCCCAGACAGCCAGGAUGUUGGCUUAGAAGCAGCCAUCAUUUAAAGAAAGCGUAAUAGCUCACUGGUCGAGUCGGCCUGCGCGGAAGAUGUAACGGGGCUAAACCAUG